rnacentral:rRNA from 1 species
GACGUAGGGCGCGAGCGUUGUCCGGAUUUAUUGGGCGUAAAGAGCUCGUAGGCGGCUUGUUGCGUCAGCUGUGAAACCCGCAGCUCAACUGUGGGCUUGCAGCUGAUACGGGCAGGCUUGAGUUCGGUAGGGGAGACUGGAAUUCCAGGUGUAGCGGUGAAAUGCGUAGAUAUCUGGAGGAAUACCGGUGGCGAAGGCGGCAUCCUGGACCGACAUUGACGCUGAAAACCGAAAGCUAGGGGAGCAAACGGG